GGCCGCCUGGCGAAAUGGCAUCGCGUCUGACUACGACCAGCUGGCAUCCGCAAAUUGUAAUCAGGAGAUUGCAGGUUCGACCCCUGCGGUGGUCA